rnacentral:lncRNA from 1 species
UGGUGAUGUUUGUGUCAUGAUAUAUAUUAGUGUUCAGGGAGGCAUAAUAAUUUAAAAAAUUACAAGGUAAUUUUUCAAAGACAUUAUUUGUAAGUACAAAUUCAUCAUAGAAUGUAAACUUGCGAACUUCAUUCCCUCCACAGAUAUCUGCAUGGAAGGUUAAAAAUACAUUUUCAAAUAUGUAACCAUGCAAUAUACAGUACUCCCUCAAAUGCUUAGAGAUAUAACUUACAUUUUUUUUUU